rnacentral:rRNA from 1 species
GGGGAAGUAUUGCACAAUGGAGGAAACUACUGAUGCAGCGACGCCGCGUGAGCGAUGAAGUAUUUCGGUAUGUAAAGCUCUAUCAGCAGGGAAGAUAAUGACGGUACCUGAGUAAGAAGCUCCGGCUAAAUACGUGCCAGCAGCCGCGGUAAUACGUAUGGAGCAAGCGUUAUCCGGAUUUACUGGGUGUAAAGGGAGUGUAGGCGGCUUUGCAAAGUCAGAUGUGAAAGCCCGGGGCUCAACCCCGGGACUGCAUUUGAAACUGUGAAGCUGGAGUGUCGGAGAGGUAAGUGGAAUUCCUAGUGUAGCGGUGAAAUGCGUAGAUAUUAGGAAGAACACCAGUGGCGAAGGCGGCUUACUGGACGAUUACUGACGCUGAGGCUCGAAAGCGU